rnacentral:rRNA from 1 species
UACGUAGGGGGCAAGCGUUGUCCGGAAUCAUUGGGCGUAAAGAGCGUGUAGGCGGUUCGGUAAGUCGGCUGUGAAAGUCCAGGGCUCAACCCUGGGAUGCCGGUCGAUACUGCCGGACUAGAGUUCGGAAGAGGCGAGUGGAAUUCCUGGUGUAGCGGUGAAAUGCGCAGAUAUCAGGAGGAACACCAAUGGCGAAGGCAGCUCGCUGGGACGGUACUGACGCUGAGACGCGAAAGCGUGGGGAGCGAACAGG